CUUGGAGGCCCACAACCCUUUAUGUGAAGCCCAAAACAAGGGUAAUGGGAGAAACCAAAACGCCAGCCGCUCCACCUUCAUGGAUACGCGUGCGUCGUUUGGAUUCCCCAGUCGUGGCCAGCUGUGCUAGGAAUAGGAGCAGACCAUGGGAACAUCCUAAGAGAAUAUGGUCUAUCAUGUUUACCAAUGACAAAAACUGCUGUCCUUUAUUGAUGUCAACCAAUUAAUUAAUAAUGAAAUGAAACUACCAUUACUAACAUCAACAAUAUAAUGAAACUUGUUAUCUGCUCCAAUUCCUCCUCAUUCAAAUAUUUCCACUUUUUGCAUCUUCUUUACUCAGCUCCGGCGGCAAGGAACGGUAACCGCCUACUAGUAACUACCCUUCGAAAUACCACAAAUUAAACAUGAACCCAAGCUUAUUUUAAACCAUGAACAUGGAUCUACAUCCAUCCUUCUCUAAAUAUCCUACCUUUGUUCAGAUCGGUACUUCAAACUCAACUUUGCCAAUCUUAAAAAUGCGACUUAUCCUUAGAACCAAAAAAACAAACAACAUUCGGUCCUAAAACAUAAACAGGAAGCAUCACAAAACAAGUAUAUGGAAGGAAACGAAUUAAAGCUCAGCUUAUUCAAUAUUAUAUUGACCUAAUACGUGUUCGAUUCUGAUUUGGUGAUUUCGUAACUCAUCAUAAUUUCCACCGUCCUGUACUUGGCUUGGAUCUCAUACAAGUGCCUUGCCUUGACUUAUACUCUCCUUGUUGUUACGUUAUGCUUGUUACUGCAGAUUUGCAGGAUUUCACAUAGGAUGGUCUUUGUUGACUGAUAUAUCAAGGUGAUUUUGGCCAGCCGUUUGUGGUUUUUCUGUGGGAAGCUUCUCCAACAGGCACAUUCGUCCUGCCUGCUCUGAUUCUUCCUAGCUCUUAUUUGUGCAUUAGUUCUUUGGUUUUAUAAAACUAAAUCGUGUAUUUGUCUGUAUGAUCCUAAUGUAUGUACAUUCAAUUCAAAUUGGUGGUUUGGUAACAGAUUUUGGUCGUGGUUCAGACUUUUAUUUAUGAAAACCUGUGGCAUCCAUUAUGCCUUUUGCUUUGGAGUAAUAGAGCUUAGCUUUUAUCUCUGCGGUUAUGAUUUGUGGUUCUCACGGUCUUAUGGAUGCAUUACAGGAGAUAGGCGUUACGAAGCUUAUGUUGGUGAUGUGUUACACGACGUGGUUAUCACUCACAUCAUGACUUGGUUUGUUUUCCUUCUUGCUAAUGUUUAUGGUCAUGGCAUUAAGAUGGGAAAUCGAAGCAUCCGUACACCAAUGUCCAACCAAGAAUCUAAAUGGGAUUCGAAGACGUGAAUUAGAACUAGGAUGGGGAUUUGGGGAUGAAAAGGGUUGGAUUCGAUCUUGGUCAACGAUUACCAAACUUUAUAACUUUCAUAAUAGCCAUCACAUAGAUUACAAUGAAUGAUGCUUCCAUGAUUAUUUGAUAUGGUCUGAUUGUGUUAACUGCACUAAACGUCAAUUUGUAAUCAGCUUGAUAAAACAACAUUUCUGAUCUUGAAUUUAAUCUCUUUUUUUCUUUUAA